CUGAGUUACCAAAACUCCCAAACCCCUGUGAACAUACCUUUUGUUGCUUCGGCGGGAUUUGCCCCAGCGCCCUCGUGGCCUGGAACCAGGCGCCCGCCGGGGGAAACCAAACUCUUGUUUUUUUCAGUAUCUUCUGAGUGGCAUAAUGCAAAAAUAAAUCA
rnacentral:misc_RNA from 1 species